AUGCAAGUCGAGGGGACCGGCGGACUGGUGAGUAACGCGUAAGGAACCUGCCUUCUAGAGGGGAAUAACAAUGAGAAAUCAUUGCUAAUACCGCAUAAGAAGAUGGCCUUGCGUCUGAUUAGAUAGUUGGUGGGGUAACGGCCUACCAAGUCGACGAUCAGUAGCCGACCUGAAGGGUGAUCGGCCACAUUGGGACUGAGACACGGCCCAAACUCCUACGGGAGGCAGCAGUGGGGGAUAUUGCACAAUGGAGGAAACUCUGAUGCAGCGACGCCGCGUGAGUGAAGAAGUAUUUCGGUAUGUAAAGCUCUAUCAGCAGGGAAGCAGUACCUGACUAAGAAGCCCCGGCUAACUACGUGCCAGCAGCCGCGGUAAUACGUGGGGGGCAAGCGUUAUCCGGAUUUACUGGGUGUAAAGGGAGCGUAGACGGAACGGCAAGUUUGAAGUGAAAUACCCGGGCUUAACUCGGGGACUGCUUUGAAAACUGUCGAUCUAGAGUGUC
rnacentral:rRNA from 1 species